UACGUAGGGUGCAAGCGUUGUCCGGAAUUAUUGGGCGUAAAGAGCUCGUAGGCGGUCUGUCACGUCGGCUGUGAAAACCUGGGGCUCAACCCCGGGCCUGCAGCCGAUACGGGCAGACUAGAAUUCGGUAGGGGAGACUGGAAUUCCCUGUGUAGCGGUGAAAUGCGUAGAGAUGGGGGAGAACACUCGUGGCGAAGGCGGCCAGCUAGACCAGUUCUGACACUGAGGCGCGACAGCGUGGGGAGCAAACAGG
rnacentral:rRNA from 1 species